rnacentral:lncRNA from 10 species
CCAGAGUAGCUGGGACUACAGGCACCUGCCACCACGCCCGGCUAAUUUUUUUGUAUUUUUAGUAGAGACGGGGUUUCACCGUGUUAGCCAGGAUGGUCUCGAUCUCCUGAGCUCGUGAUCCACCCGCCUCAGCCUCCCAAAGUGCUGGGAUUACAGGUGUGAGCCAACAUGCCCGGCCUCAUUUCAAAAGACUUUUAAAUUUUCUUCUUAAAUUCAUCAUUGAUCCAAAGAUCAUUCAGGAGCGUUAAUUUCCAGGCAACAACAAUCAUAAACCCUAAGAUUUCUGUGACUAAAUGUGUGAGGGUUUUCCUCCAGCCACCAAGAAGCAGACACCAGCUGGUUUUCCAUGAAUUCAAUUCUUGCAUAAUGUACCUGGAGACAGUGCCAGAUCCCAC